GACUUUGAUCUCAGCAACGAUGUGAGUCGUAGUAAAAAGAAAAUUCGUUGGCUUUAUAGACCGUGAGG
rnacentral:tRNA from 1 species